rnacentral:pre_miRNA from 1 species
UGCAUACUCCCUCCGUCCAAAAAAACUUGUCCCAAGUUUGUUUCUCAAAUAGAUGUAUCUAGCAUUAACAUGGUGCUAGAUACAUCCAUUUGAGGGACAAGCUUUUUCGGACGGAGGGAGUACAUA